GAUGAACGCUAGCGGCAGGCCUAAUACAUGCAAGUCGGACGGGAUUCAGGAGCUUGCUUCUGAUGAGAGUGGCGCACGGGUGCGUAACACGUAUGUAACCUACCUUUAUCAGGGGGAUAGCCUCUCGAAAGAGAGAUUAAGCCCGCAUAAAAUCACAGCACAGCAUUGUGUAAUGAUCAAAUAUUUAUAGGAUAAAGAUGGGCAUGCGGGACAUUAGCUAGAUGGCGGGGUAACGGCCCACCAUGGCGACGAUGUUUAGGGGAUCUGAGAGGAUGGCCCCCCACACUGGUACUGAGACACGGACCAGACUCCUACGGGAGGCAGCAGUAAGGAAUAUUGGUCAAUGGGCGGAAGCCUGAACCAGCCAUGCCGCGUGCAGGAAGACGGCCCUACGGGUUGUAAACUGCUUUUAGACGGGAAUAAACCCAGAUACGUGUAUCUGGCUGAAUGUACUGUAAGAAUAAGGAUCGGCUAACUCCGUG
rnacentral:rRNA from 1 species